GAGGAUUUAGCUCAGUGGCAUAAGCACCUGCCUUGCAAGCAGGUGGUCGUGAGUUCAAUCCCCA
rnacentral:tRNA from 1 species